AUUUGAAUCAGCGGAUCGCCAUUGUUGCAGCCAUCAGUGGUAGCAGUUGCUGAAGGUUACUGAGCAGAGUUGUGUACACAUUGCGAAUCAGUACAAAAAACAUGGACGAGCCCAAAGUACCACCUCAUUCAAAUUGUGCAAAGCAGCCUCAACUCAAAGCAUUCUCUUCAGGCAAGGGCGUCAAAUCAAGCAAGCCUAGUUGGAGAAAGAAGAUUGCAGACACCAUUUUGAAGGCGUUGAAUUUGCGUGAGAAGACGCAAAAAGCGGGCGCUGGACGUGAAAUGGUCGGUAAAGACACAAAUUCGCAGUUGAAAAGCAAGAGAAGAGCAAAGUGCGAGGUAAAGGUGAGACCACGCCACCGGGGAAGAAGAUAUCUUUGUGCUUCUGUUGAUGUAGGAGAGGACAGCAGGGAAAGGAGGAAGGAAGAAUGGGAAUCACAAUUGAAUCUGUACAAUCUCCUGUCAUGGUAGAAACUCAGUUGGAUAUGAAACAGUAGUUUUGUGGCUGCCUCACUAGGGUCAAGGACAUCUUGCUCGAGGAAUUCGAGGGAGGUUUUCUUCAGUUUUGUGUUACAAAUUGUCGAUCUAACAAAACAGACUAUACCAAGGUAUUAUGUUCAUAAUUUGACAUGUUUUUAAAAAAUUACUAACCGCCAAUUCCUAAUUUGGAAUCAUCAUCUAUCCUCUCGCUAGAGACAGCCAAAGCUUCGAACCACAUCCGAUGUGUCCUGAAAAUGGAGCACAAUUCAUGUCUGUACUGGCAACUGUGGAGGAGGUUACAAGAUAAACGAGAUCAACCGAUACUUUGUAGGAAUUGUUUAUCACCUCGAUGGAUGUAAUACUAAUGCAAUUUGGACUAUUAAGUCAUCUACAAAAGAUGAAGUGAGAACUCCAACAUGGGUGUUCUCAUAGUAACAUCUGCUGAUAAAGUUUUGAGGA